rnacentral:rRNA from 1 species
UCCUGGCUCAGAGCGAACGUUAGCGGCGCGCCUAACACAUGCAAGUCGCACGAGAAAGGGCUUCGGCCCCGGUAAAGUGGCGCACGGGUGAGUAACACGUGGGCAACCUGCCCAACCCUGGGGGAUAACCUGCCGAAAGGCGGGCUAAUACCGCGUACGAGGGCUCGACUUCGGUCGGGUUCUGAAAGCAGGCCUCUGAAUUCAAGCUUGUGGGGUUGGAUGGGCCCGCGGUCCAUCAGCUAGUUGGUGAGGUAAUGGCUCACCAAGGCAACGACGGAUAGCUGGUCUGAGAGGAUGAUCAGCCACACUGGAACUGAGACACGGUCCAGACUCCUACGGGAGGCAGCAGUGGGUAAUCUUCGCGCAAUGGACGAAAGUCUGACGCAGCGACGCCGCGUGGGUGACGAAGGCCU